AUCAGGGGUAAACCUGUGGAACUCGAACGAGCGAACGGGGAGAUUCAUCGUUUCUUUGGAGAUCCGCGGCGGAGCGGUUUGACGUCGGAUCGCACUCUGUYGUGGUUUUCAAAGGGCGUGCACUUCUCCCUUAGUAAAACACCGCGACCCGUUAGUCGGUCGAACGCGCCGUGCGGUAGUCCCGUCUUAUAAGGCGGAGCCGCGGUGUCGCGGCCGAAAUCUGACGGUAACGAACGAGGUUCGCNNNNNNNNNNGUCCGCUCAUCGCGACGUCCCUUCCUCUGUAGAUCGACGUGCGUCGUUUGCAUGAAGGUCGUGCUGUCGCAACGCUCGGACGGGACGCGUCCCGGUCUGCGGUGGUUUUGUUUCGGGCACUCACAGGACCCGUCUUAAAC
rnacentral:rRNA from 1 species